rnacentral:lncRNA from 1 species
GACACAAGGCUUCCUUUUCCUGGGCUCUCUACUGGGCUCAAUCGCCUAAUGACCCUACAAAUGGAACAAUGUACUUUCAAGAAUUGAGUAAUAUGGAUGAUCAAUGUGUUACUCUCGUCCUGAUUCGAAACUUGUCUUUUCAUGGAGAGCAAUAAUCACAGCUAUAUCGUCUAGACUGAAAUGUCUCAUCUCCAUUUUGCCAAAUUCUGCCUUGUCCAUUACAGUUAAUCUCAUAAUCCACAUAGACACCACACAAUUCCAUAAACAACAGAGCAGCCCCUGCUAACCAGCCCUCCCUCUGAGGAAAGCCUGAGAAUCUGUCUUUUACUGUUUUUCAUGUGCCUGAAAUAAAAUGUCCA